rnacentral:rRNA from 1 species
ACGACUGCUAAGACUGGAUAGGAGAUAAGAAGGCAUCUUCUUAUUUUUAAAAGACCUAGCAAUAGGUAUGCUUAGAGAGGAGCUUGCGUCACAUUAGUUAGUUGGUGGGGUAAAAGCCUACCAAGACGAUGAUGUGUAGCCGGGCUGAGAGGUCAAACGGCCACAUUGGGACUGAGACACGGCCCAAACUCCUACGGGAGGCAGCAGUAAGGAAUUUUCGGCAAUGGAGGAAACUCUGACCGAGCAACGCCGCGUGAACGAUGAAGUAUUUCGGUACGUAAAGUUCUUUUAUUAGGGAAGAAAAGAUGGUGGAAAAACCAUUAUGACGGUACCUAAUGAAUAAGCCCCGGCUAACUAUGUGCCAGCAGCCGCGGUAAUACAUAGGGGGCAAGCGUUAUCCGGAAUUAUUGGGCGUAAAGGGUGCGUAGGCGGUUAAAUAAGUUUAUGGUCUAAGUGCAAUGCUUAACGUUGUGAUGCUGUAAAAACUGUUUAGCUAGAGUUGGAUAGAGGCAAGUGGAAUUCCAUGUGUAGUGGUAAAAUGCGUAAAUAUAUGGAGGAACACCAGGAGCGAAGGCGGCUUGCUGGGUCUUAACUGACGCUGAGGCACGAAAGCGUGGGGAGCAAACAGGAUUAGAUACCCUGGUAGUCCACGCCCUAAACGAUGAGUACUAAACGUUGGGUAAAACCAGUGUUGAAGUUAACACAUUAAGUACUCCGCCUGAGUAGUACGUUCGCAGUAUGAAACUUAAGGAAUUGACGGGACUCCGCACAGCGGUGGAUUAUGUUGUUUAUUCGAAAGUACCCGAAAAACCUCACCAGGUCUUGACAUGCUUUUGCAAAGUGGGAAGAAAUACAGUGGAAGGUUAUCAAUUGCACAGGUGGUGCAUGGGUGGUCGUCACUCGUGUCGUGAAAUGUGGGUUAAGUCCCCACGAGCGCAACCCUUGUUGUUAAUUGCCAGCAUGUAAUGAUGGGGACUUUAGCAAGACUGCCAGUGAUAAAUUGGAGGAAGGUGGGGACGACGUCAAAUCAUCAUGCCCCUUAUGACCUGGGCUACAAACGUGAUACAAUGGCUGUUACAAAGGGUAGCUAUAGCGUAAGCUUUUGGCGAAUCUCAAGAAAGCAGUCUCAGUUCGGAUUGAAGUCUGCAACUCGACUUCAUGAAGUUGGAAUCGCUAGUAAUCGCGAAUCAGCAUGUCGCGGUGAAUACGUUCGCGGGGUUUGUACACACCGCCCGUCA